GCGCCCAGAGGCAUGAAAUCCCUAAGGGGAUAUUUAGCAGAACUCGCAGAACUGCCACUGGAGUGUCAGCCGACAGAGGUUACACCUUGUAACUCCCUGGUUUUUUAACUGCAUGUAUUAAGCUCUCAUGGGACGAAAAUGUUAAAACACGAAAUGAUGAGUGAAUGAAGGCGGGAGUUACUGGAAGAAAGGUAAGGUAAAUGAUAACGAAAUUUCCUUAAGUGCUACACUAAGGAUUCAAACAAGAUAAAUGGCUCAAAGGGUAAUUUCAUGAUGAGUAUGAAGAGAAGAAAGAAGGAAAUAAAAGAAAAAUAAAAUCAAAUGAAAGGUUCAGAAGAGUAGGAGGGUUCUUCAACUCAGAAUUUUCAAUGACUGACAGUGUUUAUACAUAUGUAACAGUAAGGCUGACCUCAGUCUGAAGAUCUUGGCCCAGCUACCUCAGUGUUUUCAGUCAGAGGAGAUGUUGCCCCUACCAUAUGUGGUAAUUUGGCAAUGUAAAGGGACACCUUUUGGUUGUCAGAACAGGAUGCUACUAACAUCCGGUGGGUCAAGAGCUGGGAUGCAGCUGUCAACCCCUGUAACUGAAGACCACCAGGAACACCCCUGUAGUUAAACAAGUUGUUUUUAUGGUUUUUGCAACAAGAAAGAACACAUACCAUGGAGAAUGGUGGUGUAGCUCAGUAGGAUGGUGUUGGAAAGAACUGAUGAUAAGAUUUUGGUCUUAUCUUAGUUGAGUGAUUUGGGGAAGAACUAAAAAAAUAGGAAUUUGCUCUAGAUUGAAUGCUGUCAGAAAGUGGGGACGAUUCUAUAACUUGGGUAUCUCAAUAAAUUUUGUCUAGAAGGA
rnacentral:lncRNA from 1 species